rfam:Exiguobacterium sibiricum 255-15, complete genome.
GUAAUUUGAUUUCACCGGGCGUCUGAUCGAGUAACUGAUCAGAGCAUGACUGGGUGAAUUGCUGGAACUCCUUAGAGCCUUGAUGUACGACAACGUGGCUGGAAACGGUGAGCGUGACCGUUCUGAAAAACGUCAAGGAUUGGACAAUCAGCAGCCAAGCACCUGUAGGGAAACCUUGGUGAAGGUUCAACGACUAGGAUAGACGACCUAAUGGAGACUUCUGAUGGUUAUGAAAUCCGUACUCCGUAAACGGCGGGGGAAGCGCCCAGCUCCUAGUAUACCUAGGAUGAAGAUAUAGUCUUAUCAUUAGCGAAAGUUAAUG